rnacentral:tRNA from 1 species
UAGAUAUUAAGUUAAUUAAACUGUAUGUUUCAUGUGCAUAAAAUGUUGUAGUAGUUUACACAUAUCUUU